ensembl:lncRNA
CCUGGACAUUUUGUCUACAAUAAGAGGGAAAUCAGAAAGGAUAAUAAGAAUUGGGUAGAGGGGGGGAGAUAGGGAAAGAGAGAGAGAGAGCAAGAGACAGAGACACAAAGAGUGCAACAGAGAAAGUCUACAAGCGGUACCUGGUUUAUCCGGUAAUACACUAACUUCAAUUAAGUCAAUUCUGGACGUCUCUUCACAAAGUGCCUCACCCUGAUUGGCCAAAAGUCAUGUCACACAUCACCAGCUGAUUUGCAUAGCAGGUGGGGCCACCCACCCGCAAUCCAUGAUUGGCUCCGAAGUUUAUACUAGGGGCCUCAAGGUUUGCCAUAGUUCUGUUUUUCUUAUUCCCUAAAAGUUCAUUAAUUGAUUGGUUGAUUGAUAGACUAAUCGAUCAAUCAGUUGAUAGAUUAAAGUGGUAUAUCGGCUAUUAGUAUUCCAGGCCUGAAUCAUUCCCUGAUUAGAGGGGAAGGAUGAUGAUGAUGUUGAAGGGUAUUACUGUACUGUUACGCAUUCACACACACACACGCACCCACACACCUUUUCUCAGUGUCAAUAGUGGUGUUGCUGGUGUUAUGCCUGGGUGAGUGUGUGUGUUAGAAUGUGACCUAUGUUGAUCUCUUUUCCAUCUAUACAUUGGCUGGCCUCCAACAAACUUCACACAUUCAGCAGCAAUGUUUCCAAACACUAAGGCCAGAUCCCUUCCUUUCCUUGUCUCCUUUCCUUGUCUCCACCACAGAUCUGAAAGACCACACCAUAUGAACACAAUAUGAUGGAACUCUAUCAACCUACCAGGUCUCUCACAUCUCAGUCAUAACAAAGGAAAGGUAACAACCUUAACCAGCAGUAUUACAAUAUUGGGAUACUGUCUAAAUCAUACCAUGGACACUGGCAGGAGAGGCCACUGAAAACCAAACACACACUAAUGUACACAGAAGCCUUUAGUCUUGGCACGGUGCAUUCUGCACAUCAGCCAGCAGAGGGCAAUAUUUAACUCAACCAGCUAAAGGAAUGAUUGGCAGACCCCCAUGGACACUGGCAGGAGAGACCACUGAAAACCAAACACACACUAACUUACACAGAAGCCUUUAGUCUUGGCACGGUGCAUUCUGCACAUCAUAUGAGGUAAAGAAAGAUGAACAUUUGAAUGCUGAUUCUGUAUCUUAAAAGACAAUUAAUCUCCGUUGCAAGUUUCUAUUGGACCAAUAUACAAUAUAUGUUCACAUCAUGGCAAGACAAAAG